rnacentral:lncRNA from 1 species
AUAUAUAAACACCAACUACUCUCUAAUCCCAUCUCAACUCACAACAACUUUAUCAUCUUCUUGGCGUUUCAUUUUCCUGUGACCAUUUUAGAAAAGAAUGACAUCAUCAAUUUCCCUUGACCUAAACAGUGAAGCUUACGGUGAUUGGUUUGGUAAGGCAUCUAGAACUUGCAAUUUUAAUGAAAAAGAUUAUCACAGUGGGAACUCUAAAUCUGGAUUAGCUCAAAUUGCAUACAGGGAAGGAGACGAUGACGAUGACGAUGAUGACGGUGGUUAUGACUAUGCUCCCGCUGCAUAAACUAAUUGUAAACAUUAAUCUGCAAGCUAAUAUGAAGUAUUAACAAAACGUUUAGUCAUGGUUUUGGGGUCUCACUCCUUUUGUAAGCAAAGGCUAACUAGUUAUUUUAUGCUCAUGAAUGUAUAUUGUUGACCAAGAACAAGAAAGAAUCAUGUAUUGAUCCUUCCGUUACUUAACAUGCAUUAAUGACUUCAUCUAUUUCCAC